AAGGUAGCGUAAUAAAUCGCCCUUUAAUUGUGGGCCUGUAUGAACGGACAAACGAGAGAAACACUGUCUCUUAAAGUAAAAAUAAAAAUUAACCUUCAGGUGAAGAGGCCUGAUUACAAUUAAAGGACAAAAAGACCCUGUAGAGCUUAGCUUAACAGAGGCUAUAUAAAAUAAUUAAUUUAUAUUUUAACCUAAUACCUUUAUAUAAGCUUAGCUGGGGCGGCUAAGGAAAAUACAUCUUCCAUUUAUACCCAACGGUUUAUAAACCAUCCAAACUGACCCUAUAAAGAUCAAAAAACAAAGCUACCUCAGGGAUAACAGAUUAAUCCUUCUCAAGAGUUCGCAUUGACAGAAGGGCUUGAUACCUCGAUGUUGGCUUAAGAUACCCAAUAAAUUGCAGCAGU
rnacentral:rRNA from 1 species